rnacentral:lncRNA from 1 species
UGAGCUCGGUGGCGGCGAGGAGCGAGAAGACCCCUGGGGCGUUGUACGGGGAGAGGCCCACGUACAGCUCCUGGUAGGAGAAGAGCGCGCGGAGCCUCGGGUCCUUGAAGUACUUGGCCAUCUGGUUAAACUGGGGGAGGAGGAGGUCGAGGGGGUUCACCGCCAACGCGAGCGGGCCGACGCGGGAGAGGUCGACGAAGUCCAGGAUGGAGUUGGCGUCCCUCUCGAUGAACGCGGCGACGCCGUAGUCGAGGGAGGCGCGCGCGCGGCCGAGCCAGUCGAUGUAUCGACCGCCGGCUCCG